rnacentral:rRNA from 1 species
AACGCGAAGAACCUUACCUGGACUCGAAAUUUUGUUGAUCGUCUCAGAGAUGAGAUUUUCCCGCAAGGGACAGCAGAAUAGGUGCUGCAUGGCUGUCGUCAGCUCGUGUCGUGAGAUGUUGGGUUAAGUCCCGCAACGAGCGCAACCCUCACCCUUAGUUGCUCGUCCGCAAGGAAAGCACCCUAAGGGAACUGCCUCGGAUAACGGGGAGGAAGGUGGGGAUGACGUCAAGUCCUCAUGGCCUUUAUGCCCAGGGCUACACACGUGCUACAAUGGUCGGUACAAACCGUUGCUUAUCCGCGAGGAGAAGCCAAUCGGAAAAAACCGAUCUCAGUUCGGAUUGCAGGCUGCAACUCGCCUGCAUGAAGCUGGAAUCGCUAGUAAUCACGUAUCAGAACGACGUGGUGAAUACGUUCCCGGGCCUUGUACACACCGACUGUAC